AUGGACAGGGCUAGGAAUUUUAUACCUGGCCCUAAUCAGGAGCUUCUGGAUAUCAAGCCAAUAAGGUCUUUAGCUCCAAUGUUCCCUGCACCCAUGGGAGUCAACAUUAACCAGUCAAGCACCCCACCGUUGGUCUGUGUGACUCCUGUUGGCCAGUUUCCUACAGGAUUUGGUGGUGGAAACCUUCCUGCCUUUGGAUCAUUCGCCACCUUCAAUGCUACCGUGAAUGGUUUUUCGCAAGCAGGCACAAGUGCUAAUGGGGCCAUUGAUGCUACUCCUAUCUCAGCAUACAAGACGAGAUCUGGGGCUACAGCACUUGGUGACGAUGAACCUUAUUCGGGUAAUCAGACUUCAGCAUCUGGACGCAAGGCUAAGAAGAGGUCAGCUGGUUUGUCUGCUGACAGCUCAGAUGGAGUUAAGGCCAAGCGCCCUAAGCCUGUCUACAAGAAUCUUGUUGCUGGCAAGGAGCUUGCUUUCUUGCCAGCUUCACCAAAUAAUCCUAGGGAGAUUGUGGAAGCAGUUCAUAUGACCUUCGAGGCACUCAGACGUAGACAUCUUCAGAUGGAUGAAACACAGGACGCUAGCAGACGUGCAGACCUGAAAGCUGGCGCCAUCAUGAUGGCCAGUAAUAUCAGGGCGAAUGUGGGGAAGAGGGUAGGGACUGCUCCUGGAGUUGAAAUAGGGGAUAUUUUCUAUUUCAGGAUGGAGCUAUGCAUCAUUGGGCUGCAUGCUCCUAGCAUGGGUGGCAUUGAUUACAUGAGUGCUAAAUUUGGAGCUGAUGAGGAUUCUGUAGCAAUAUGUAUUGUUGCAGCAGGUGGUUAUGAGAACGAGGAUGAUGACACAGAUACACUGGUGUACAGUGGUUCAGGGGGUAACAGUAGGAAUACCGAGGAGAGGCAUGACCAGAAGCUUGAGAGGGGCAACCUUGCUCUCGAGAGGAGUAUGCACAGGAAGAAUGAGAUAAGGGUUGUGCGGGGAUUCAAAGAUCCAGCUAUGGUAGCUGGCAAAAUCUACAUAUAUGAUGGCCUUUAUAAGAUCCAAGAGUCCUGGACGGAGAGAACAAAAUUUGGCGUCAAUUGCUUCAAGUACAGGUUGCAGCGUGAACCUGGACAGCGUGAUGGAGCUGCAAUAUGGAAGAUGACUCAGCGAUGGAUACAAGAUCCAUCGACAAGAGGCAGGGUUAUACUACGUGACCUAUCAUCUGGGACUGAAUCGAUCCCAGUGUGUCUCGUCAAUGAGGUAGACCAUGAGAAAGGACCUGGGCAGUUCACCUAUACUAAUCAGGUCAAAUACUUGAGACCCGUCAGUUCCAUGACACCCAUGCAGGGUUGUGGUUGCCAGAGUGUUUGCCUACCUGGUGAUGCCAACUGUGCUUGUGGGCAACAUAACGGAGGUGAUCUACCGUACAGCUCAUCAGGAGUGUUGGUGUGCCGCAAGCCAAUAGUAUAUGAAUGUGGUGAAGCUUGCCAUUGUACCCUGAAUUGUCGGAACAGAGUGAGCCAAAAAGGGAUCAGGUUCCACUUUGAGGUCUUCAGGACGGCAAAUCGAGGCUGGGGUCUUCGCUGUUGGGAGCCUAUUCGUGCUGGUGCAUUUAUUUGUGAGUAUACUGGGGAGGUCAUCGAUGAGCUUAAAGUUAACUUGGAUGACAGUGAAGAUGAUUACAUUUUUCAGACUGUGUGCCCUGGUGAGAAGACGCUAAAAUGGAAUUUCGGGCCUGAGCUUAUAGGUGAGCAAAGCACGUACGUAUCAGCUGAGGAAUUUCAGCCACUGCCCAUCAAGAUAAGUGCAAAAAAGAUGGGAAAUGUCUCGCGUUUCAUGAACCACAGUUGCUCCCCAAACGUCUUCUGGCAGCCAGUGCAGUACAACCAUGGAGACGACAAGCACCCACACAUAAUGUUUUUCGCACUUAAUCACAUCGCUCCCAUGACAGAGUUAACCUAUGACUAUGGUGUGGUUGGAGAAGAGACCAGUCAUAGAGCCAAGACCUGCCUGUGUGGAUCAUUAACCUGUCGUGGGUUAUUUUGA
rnacentral:rRNA from 1 species